AGUCGUCUCGCCCUUGUUAGCCCUAAUGGUAGACCAGGCGAAGGAGGCGAGCAAUUUUGGACUCACUGCCAUGCAACUGGGCGUCGAUAACCCAGCAAACAUAAAAAUAUGUCGUCAGUGCCAGUUGGUCUUCGGAGCAGUCAGGAGGCAUGGCUUUUGCUGAACGCGACGUGUUGUCUUCCAAGACAAGGUCCUCGGAGUGGACGAGGUUCACCUCAUAUAAUGGGGGAAACGUGACAAAGGGAAGGCCUUCAGGUAUUGUUUUGGCAAGCUAGGAGAACACAUCUGACAGACAAAAAGGUUUCAUCAAAGACACACAGACAGCUCCUGAAGUAAAGGACCUACACAGGACCUUCAUAUCAAGGACAUUGACUGUGUGGAUCUCGAGGUGCAGUUACCCAAAAGUUGCUACCCACGGAAUACCAGGUUUUGAGGGAUCCUGCCAGAGCAGAGAAUCAACAGUAAGUCAUAUCUUAACUUCACACAAAUACACAUACAAGGGUGUGCCCAACACACAUGUACUUUAUAAUAUAUUAUUUUCUAAGUAAUGAGACAAAUUGAGGAAUACAUAUUGGCCUGGUUCAGUCAAGUGGAGUUGUUGUCUGUUUCAAGCUACAGGUGUUUGCAAGGCAAUUUAUUAUUUGUCGAAAUUAAGGCAAAUUUCAUACAUGUGUGUGACCAUUCAUCUUGCCACCUGUAUUAUUUUGUAGUAGGAAGGCAGAAGUCUUAUGGCAGUGUGAUGCUACAGUAAUGCUUACAGUAAUUUAAAGAGUAUAGUUUACCUUCCUUAAAGCAAUGUUGGGAUAUAUGCCUUGCUCAAGGGCACUUUAGGCAUGGAUGGAGGUGUAUGCAGUGGUCAGAGAUUUGAGUCAGCAACCCUAGUCUGAUCUUAAGACCACCUCACUAAUCAUUAUGCCACACUGCCCACCAUGUUAAGAAACUACAAUAUC